GCCUCGGUAGUGUAAUGGAAAGGACGGCAGACCGGAUAUCUGUAAGUUCGGGUUCGAGUCUCGCCUGAGGUU
rnacentral:tRNA from 1 species